rnacentral:miRNA from 1 species
GACGUCGAUAUUCGACGUCAUAAACACGAUCAACUUUGGUGUUUAUGACGUCGAUAUUCGACGUCAUAAACACGAUCAACUUUGGUGUUUAUGACGUCGAUAUUCGACGUCAUAAACACGAUCAACUUUGGUGUUUAUGACGUCGAUAUUCGACGUCAUAAACACGAUCAACUUUGGUGUUGAUGACGUCGAUAUUCGACGUCAUAAACACGAUCAACUUUGGUGUUGAUGACGUCGAUAUUCGACGUC